rnacentral:rRNA from 1 species
AGUGAACGCUGGCGGUAGGCCUAACACAUGCAAGUCGAACGGCAGCACAGUAAGAGCUUGCUCUUACGGGUGGCGAGUGGCGGACGGGUGAGGAAUACAUCGGAAUCUACUUUUUCGUGGGGGAUAACGUAGGGAAACUUACGCUAAUACCGCAUACGACCUACGGGUGAAAGCAGGGGAUCUUCGGACCUUGCGCGAUUGAAUGAGCCGAUGUCGGAUUAGCUAGUUGGCGGGGUAAAGGCCCACCAAGGCGACGAUCCGUAGCUGGUCUGAGAGGAUGAGCAGCCACACUGGAACUGAGACACGGUCCAGACGCCUACGGGAGGCAGCAGUGGGGAAUAUUGGACAAUGGGCGCAAGCCUGAUCCAGCCAUACCGCGUGGGUGAAGAAGGCCUUCGGGUUGUAAAGCCCUUUUGUUGGGAAAGAAAAGCAGCAGGUUAAUACCCCGCUGUUCUGACGGUACCCAAAGAAUAAGCACCGGCUAACUUCGUG